rnacentral:misc_RNA from 1 species
UUUCCGUAGGUGAACCUGCGGAAGGAUCAUUAAAGUGUAAGGGUCUUCGAGCCCGAUCUCCAACCCUUUGUUUAACUACAAUGUUGCUUUGGCGGGCCCGUCACACGACCGCCGGAAGUUUGGCUUCGACCGAACUUCUGGCACGUGCUCGUCAGUGGCCCCUUCAAAUUCUUGAUCAACUAUGAUGACUUAGUUAAAAACUUAAUAGUUAAAACUUUCAACAACGGAUCUCUUGGUUCUG